rnacentral:rRNA from 1 species
UGUGGUUACAAUAGCAGAGAGGAUACACCUGUUCCCAUUCCGAACACAGAAGUUAAGCUCUCUAGCGCUGAUGGUACUUGGUGGGAAACUGCCUGGGA